CCCCUGGCUCAGCUUGAACGCUGGCGGCAGGCCUAACACAUGCAAGUCGAGCGGUAGCACAGAGAGCUUGCUCUCGGGUGACGAGCGGCGGACGGGUGAGUAAUGUCUGGGAAACUGCCUGAUGGAGGGGGAUAACUACUGGAAACGGUAGCUAAUACCGCAUAACGUCGCAAGACCAAAGUGGGGGACCUUCGGGCCUCAUGCCAUCAGAUGUGCCCAGAUGGGAUUAGCUAGUAGGUGGGGUAACGGCUCACCUAGGCGACGAUCCCUAGCUGGUCUGAGAGGAUGACCAGCCACACUGGAACUGAGACACGGUCCAGACUCCUACGGGAGGCAGCAGUGGGGAAUAUUGCACAAUGGGCGCAAGCCUGAUGCAGCCAUGCCGCGUGUGUGAAGAAGGCCUUCGGGUUGUAAAGCACUUUCAGCGGGGAGGAAGGCGGUGAGGUUAAUAACCUCAUCGAUUGACGUUACCCGCAGAAGAAGCACCGGCUAACUCCGUGCCAGCAGCCGCGGUAAUACGGAGGGUGCAAGCGUUAAUCGGAAUUACUGGGCGUAAAGCGCACGCAGGCGGUCUGUCAAGUCGGAUGUGAAAUCCCCGGGCUCAACCUGGGAACUGCAUUCGAAACUGGCAGGCUAGAGUCUUGUAGAGGGGGGUAGAAUUCCAGGUGUAGCGGUGAAAUGCGUAGAGAUCUGAGGAAUACCGGUGGCGAAGGCGGCCCCCUGGACAAAGACUGACGCUCAGGUGCGAAAGCGUGGGGAGCAAACAGGAUUAGAUACCCUGGUAGUCCACGCCGUAAACGAUGUCGAUUUGGAGGUUGUGCCCUUGAGGCGUGGCUUCCGGAGCUAACGCGUUAAAUCGACCGCCUGGGGAGUACGGCCGCAAGGUUAAAACUCAAAUGAAUUGACGGGGGCCCGCACAAGCGGUGGAGCAUGUGGUUUAAUUCGAUGCAACGCGAAGAACCUUACCUGGUCUUGACAUCCACAGAACUUUCCAGAGAUGGAUUGGUGCCUUCGGGAACUGUGAGACAGGUGCUGCAUGGCUGUCGUCAGCUCGUGUUGUGAAAUGUUGGGUUAAGUCCCGCAACGAGCGCAACCCUUAUCCUUUGUUGCCAGCGGUUAGGCCGGGAACUCAAAGGAGACUGCCAGUGAUAAACUGGAGGAAGGUGGGGAUGACGUCAAGUCAUCAUGGCCCUUACGACCAGGGCUACACACGUGCUACAAUGGCAUAUACAAAGAGAAGCGACCUCGCGAGAGCAAGCGGACCUCAUAAAGUAUGUCGUAGUCCGGAUUGGAGUCUGCAACUCGACUCCAUGAAGUCGGAAUCGCUAGUAAUCGUAGAUCAGAAUGCUACGGUGAAUACGUUCCCGGGCCUUGUACACACCGCCCGUCACACCAUGGGAGUGGGUUGCAAAAGAAGUAGGUAGCUUAACCUUCGGGAGGGCGCUU
rnacentral:rRNA from 1 species